GAGGCCGUUCUCCAGCUUCUCUUCAUUUCUCAAGAAAUUCUGUACUCUCCCAGUUUACCAAUGUCUUUUUGUUGCCUUUGUAGAUGGGGAUGCUUGCAAACAAGGAUUGAGGACAGAUGGAUCCCAAGCCAGAGAAGACGAUAAAAACAUAUUUCAUUUGGUUUCAAGACCACCAAGUAUCAUAUGAAAAUAUCUUCCUUCUGUGCCUCUGCAUAUAUCAAAUCAAUACAAAACAAAGAGAUGAGUUGGAUAUUCUUUUAAAGCAACUGAAAUUAGAAAGGUGUAGAACAACAAAUUAAGUUUCCAUACACCUUUCAAGCUGAGACUCAAACCUAGAUGGAUUUUUUUUAUUCUGUUUAAAUAAAAGCUUUUCUUCA